rnacentral:rRNA from 1 species
GAUGAACGCUAGCGGCAGGCUUAACACAUGCAAGUCGAGGGGUAGAAGGAGCUUGCUCCUUUGAGACCGGCGCACGGGUGCGUAACGCGUAUGCAAUCUACCUUUUGCAGAGGGAUAGCCCAGAGAAAUUUGGAUUAAUACCUCAUAGUAUGUGAGGAUGGCAUCAUUUUCACAUUAAAGUCACAACGGCAAAAGAUGAGCAUGCGUCCCAUUAGCUAGUUGGUAAGGUAACGGCUUACCAAGGCUACGAUGGGUAGGGGUCCUGAGAGGGAGAUCCCCCACACUGGUACUGAGACACGGACCAGACUCCUACGGGAGGCAGCAGUGAGGAAUAUUGGACAAUGGGCGCAAGCCUGAUCCAGCCAUGCCGCGUGCAGGAUGACGGUCCUAUGGAUUGUAAACUGCUUUUGUACAGGAAGAAACACUACUUCGUGAAGUAGCUUGACGGUAACUGUAAAGAAUAAGGAUCGGCUAACUCCGUG